rnacentral:rRNA from 1 species
CCUACGGGUGGCAGCAGUGAGGAAUAUUGGUCAAUGGUCGUAAGCCUGAACCAGCCAAGUCGCGUGAGGGAUGAAGGUUCUAUGGAUUGUAAACUUCUUUUAUAAGGGGAUAAAAUGUGGGACGUGUCCUUUUUUGUAUGUACCUUAUGAAUAAGGCUCGGCUAACUCCGUGCCAGCAGCCGCGGUAAUACGGAGGAUCCGAGCGUUAUCCGGAUUUAUUGGGUUUAAAGGGUGCGUAGGCGGCCUUUUAAGUCGGCGGUGAAAUGCUGUGGCUCAACCAUAGAAUUGCGGUUGAAACUGGCGGGCUUGAGUAUGCUUGAGGCAGGCGGAAUGCGUGGUGUAGCGGUGAAAUGCUUAGAUAUCACGCAGAACCCCGAUUGCGAAGGCAGCAUGCCGAGGCAUGACUGACGCUGAGGCACGAAAGCGUGGGUAUCAAACAGGAUUAGAUACCCGGGUAGUC